GAAGAAUUGUCAGACUCAGUGUUGAACAUCAGCUACUUUCUCCAGUUGCUUUAAACCUUCUUGUAGAGAUGGAACAUUGGCUGUGGAUGAUUCUUGCUGCUCUUUUCUUUGAGUGUAAAGGAGAAGACAAGGUGAUCCAGGAAACAGGAGAUGUCAUUGCUGCUGAAGGAGAGAUAGUUACACUCCCCUGUACAUUUGAGACCAGCAACCCAACUCCAACUCUGUUCUGGUACAAACAAGAAACAAAUGAUUUUCCAAAGCUUCUGCUGCAGCGCGUCUCAACAGCAGCAGGUAAUCCUGCAGAAAAACAGAAAGAGAGAAUCGAUGCUGUGGCCAACAAGACAUCAGUUCCUCUGGAGAUCCAGAAGCUUCAGCUGUCUGACUCUGCUGUGUACUACUGUGCUCUGCAGCCCACAGUGACAGGAAACAGCACAACUCUGUACAAAAACCUUUGGAGCAAAGACAACAGAAUACUCCACAACAUCCACUAG